rnacentral:rRNA from 1 species
UUCGCCCUUAGAGUUUGAUCCUGGCUCAGGACGAACGCUGGCGGCGCGCCUAACACAUGCAAGUCGAACGGAGCUUAGAGAGCUUGCUUUUUAAGCUUAGUGGCGAACGGGUGAGUAACGCGUGAGUAACCUGCCCUAGAGUGGGGGACAACAGUUGGAAACGACUGCUAAUACCGCAUAAGCCCACGGUACCGCAUGGUACUGAGGGAAAAGGAUUUAUUCGCUUUAGGAUGGACUCGCGUCCAAUUAGCUAGUUGGUGAGGUAACGGCCCACCAAGGCGACGAUUGGUAGCCGGACUGAGAGGUUGAACGGCCACAUUGGGACUGAGACACGGCCCAGACUCCUACGGGAGGCAGCAGUGGGGGAUAUUGCACAAUGGGGGAAACCCUGAUGCAGCGACGCCGCGUGGAGGAAGAAGGUUUUCGGAUUGUAAACUCCUGUCGUUAGGGACGAUAAUGACGGUACCUAACAAGAAAGCACCGGCUAACUACGUGCCAGCAGCCGCGGUAAAACGUAGGGUGCAAGCGUUGUCCGGAAUUACUGGGUGUAAAGGGAGCGCAGGCGGGAAGACAAGUUGGAAGUGAAAACCAUGGGCUCAACCCAUGAAUUGCUUUCAAAACUGUUUUUCUUGAGUAGUGCAGAGGUAGAUGGAAUUCCCGGUGUAGCGGUGGAAUGCGUAGAUAUCGGGAGGAACACCAGUGGCGAAGGCGGUCUACUGGGCACCAACUGACGCUGAGGCUCGAAAGCAUGGGUAGCAAACAGGAUUAGAUACCCUGGUAGUCCAUGCCGUAAACGAUGAUUACUAGGUGUUGGGGGAUUAACCCCCUCAGUGCCGCAGUUAACACAAUAAGUAAUCCACCUGGGGAGUACGACCGCAAGGUUGAAACUCAAAGGAAUUGACGGGGGCCCGCACAAGCAGUGGAGUAUGUGGUUUAAUUCGACGCAACGCGAAGAACCUUACCAAGUCUUGACAUCCUGCGACGCACAUAGAAAUAUGUGUUUCCUUCGGGACGCAGAGACAGGUGGUGCAUGGUUGUCGUCAGCUCGUGUCGUGAGAUGUUGGGUUAAGUCCCGCAACGAGCGCAACCCUUACUGUCAGUUACUACGCAAGAGGACUCUGGCAGGACUGCCGUUGACAAAACGGAGGAAGGUGGGGAUGACGUCAAAUCAUCAUGCCCUUUAUGACUUGGGCUACACACGUACUACAAUGGCGUUAAACAAAGAGAAGCAAGACCGCGAGGUGGAGCAAAACUCAGAAACAACGUCCCAGUUCGGACUGCAGGCUGCAACUCGCCUGCACGAAGUCGGAAUUGCUAGUAAUCGUGGAUCAGCAUGCCACGGUGAAUACGUUCCCGGGCCUUGCACUCACCGCCCGUCA